CUAGGUCGGAUUAGCUAGUCUGGUGGGUAAAGGCUCACCAAGGCGACGAUCCGUAACUGGUCUGAGAGGAUGAUCAGUCACACUGGAACUGAGACACGGUCCAGACUCCUACGGGAGGCAGCAGUGGGGAAUAUUGGACAAUGGGCGAAAGCCUGAUCCAGCCAUGCCGCGUGUGUGAAGAAGGUCUUCGGAUUGUAAAGCACUUUAAGUUGGGAGGAAGGGCUGUAGGCUAAUAUCCUGCAGUUUUGACGUUACCGACAGAAUAAGCACCGGCUAACUUCGUGCCAGCAGCCGCGGUAAUACGAAGGGUGCAAGCGUUAAUCGGAAUUACUGGGCGUAAAGCGCGCGUAGGCGGUUUGCUAAGUUGGAGGUGAAAGCCCCGGGCUCAACCUGGGAACUGCCUCCAAAACUGGCUGACUAGAGUACGGUAGAGGGUGGUGGAAUUUCCUGUGUAGCGGUGAAAUGCGUAGAUAUAGGAAGGAACACCAGUGUUCCUUAGC
rnacentral:rRNA from 1 species